rnacentral:lncRNA from 10 species
GAGAGAACAUGCAAGUGAGUGAAGAGGGAGGUGUUACGUCCUUUCAAACAACCAGAUCUCAUGAGAACUCUAUCAUGAGACAGCACUGGCGGAUGGUGCUAAAUCACUGGAAACCACCCCCAUGAUCCAAUCGCCUCUCACCAGGCUCCAUCUCCAACACUGGAAAUUACAAUUCAACAUAAGAUUUGGGUGGGGAGACAGAAACAAACCGUAUCAGCCACAUAAUGACUAAUGGUGAGGCGGACAAUAACCCAUGCCUCAAGGUCUGGGCCUAAAAACUUCUGGCUCACGUUAUGUUCAAGGACUUUUUCUUUUGUUGUUAGAUUGGGAGAUGUUUUAAAAAGUAAAAAUUACACCUCAAAGAGAGUAUUCUUGCAGAAAUUUGGCCUUUAAUAACACUGUCAUUUGGAAUCAAUGAGUGAAUGAGAGCAGAGGUUUGCUAACUUCUAUAAUACCCAAAAGGCAACCACAAGUGGAGGCCAGUCUCUGGACAUCUUCAGAUGAAUACAAAAUUUCUUUAGGCAAGGCAGUGUCUGUGGCCUGGAGAUUCCUUCAACUGUUUGCAGAAAAGUAAAUGUAGUUGCAGAAGUUUUAGAUGGGUCAUUGCUUCUCACUUACAGUUGUAAGUAUUUAGAUCAGUGCUUUCUAACUUUAAUACGCACAAGAAUUAUCUGGGACUGCUGUCAAAAUGCAGUCCCAUUCCCUAGGCCUGGGGCAGGUCCUGAGAUUCUGCAUUUCUAACAAGGCCAUGCCACCACUGCUGAUCCGUGAACCACACAUAACUCAGGAGAGCUGACCCUUCACUCCCACUCAACAUCAGUGAAGCGGAAUAGGUUCGAGGGAGGUGGGAAUGGUUGGCUUUUUUUCCCCUCCCCUUCUCUGUUAUCAGCAGCACCCAGUGGGUGGUUGAACUUGCAUUCUCCCUCAGAGGCAAUGUGACAGUGUGAAUUGGUCUCCACUUCUCAGGAAAGCAUUGGUGGGGUGUGGAAAGAGUUGAGUUUCCUUUCCACCUAUGAACAAAGAGAACACCCAGAGGGAAGCUGCAUGUAUGUACCUGGCCCUUACUCUGCAUGUUAGCAGGGGGUCUACCUGCUAAUAAAAGAAGACUCAGUAAAAUCCAGAGUCCGAACCCAAAGGCAGAGGUUACAAUUAAUUUGUCACUCACCAUAACAAGAACAAGGAAAACUACAACUUGAAUGAGAAAUGACAACCAACAGAUGAAUUACCAAGAUGAAUCAGAUGCUGGAAAUAUCUGAGCACCCACCAUAAAAACUCUUCAACAAGCAACUGCAAAUUAUCUUGAAACAAAUUAAAAAAUUGGAAAUGCUGGCCAAAAAAUAGAUAAUAUAAAAAUAAUCAUAUGAAAAUUAUAUAACUGAAGAAAUACUAUCACCAACCCCUCCCCUCCCCAAACAAACAAACAAAACAAAAACAAACUUGCUGAAUGGGCUCAACAGAAGAAGAGAGAUGGCAGAGACAGAGUCAGUGAAUCUGACAGCAGAUUAAUAGGAUUUACUCCAUCUCAACAAUGAGAAGAAAAUAGACUAUUGGGGGAAAAGACAAAAAUUAUCUCAGGAAUCUGUGGGGCAAUAACAAAAGAACUAACAUUGAUAUAAUCAGAGCUCUGGAAGGAGAGACUAGAGAGUGAGAUUGAAACAGUAACUGAAGAAAGAAUAGUUGAAAACUCCCCAAAUCUGGCAAAUAGGAUAAGUCCAAAGAAGUUCAGGCCAAAGCUCUUCAUAAUUAAACAUGAAGUGAUUCGUGCAAUGAUACCACAUCCGGAGUGUGGUGGAGGGGCUUGGUGAUGGAACAUCCAGGAGGACCGUGUGACAAAGGCCACUAUGGAGACACAGCCUCCCCAGACACUCUUAGUGAGUUCUUCCUGCUUUUCAGAUUAGAUCCUGGGGCGGCGAGAUGAAUGGAAAUUGUCCCUGCUCUAAGAAGAUCAUAGGUGAUUUGAGGGGUGGACGUAUAAACCAUCUAUGAUGGUGAGAACAAGAGGAUUGUUCUGCCCCUGGCUGCUCUAAUGACGCCUGUCUUGAUUUUGAGAAAAUCCCUCUACUUUGCAUAUCUGUAAAGUGGAUGUACAGAUUCAUGUGCUCUCUGAGUGUGGGACACAAUUAAUAUAUAGAUGAUAGUUGCAUAAAAUGCCCUUUUUAAAGUUACAUUUUAGAGAGUUGGAGCCAGGGUCUCCCAACAUUUGUGGAGCUCUAUCACUCUGACUGUUGGCUCCCAGAAAUGAUCUGUAUGGAUUUCUGGUCCUCUCUCUCCUGGUAUUGGGACUCUUUGCUAUGAAUGCAAGAGAUGGUUCAAGAAAAUGAUUCUCCAUUGCAAUAGCUACAUGAGUACAGGGGAGACUGGAUUCCUCAUAUGUAUUCUAGGUUUCUCAGCAUGUCAUUGAAGAGUGUUUAGGGAUCUUGUGAAAUUAUUUGCAGAAGGUUAAAGCCAGGAGAGAAUUCAACUUCGGUGUUUUUAUAUUCCUGUAAGAGGCUCACCUGUGAGAAAACUGAGGAUGCAGGACCAGGAAGGUGAGGAUAUCAAGCUGGAUGACAAGUCAAACAAGCCCCACACAGAGCUCUGUGAGUCACAUCUCAGAGUUGUCCCCAUCAGGAAACAAGGAAACCUGGCAGGUGGGGCACUGACACAGGGAGAAAGAUCAAAUUCUUCAGGCACUUCCAGCUCCCAGGAGUGGGGAGGGUGGGCUCCAGCAGCCUGUAGGCAGCUUCCCAGCAAACAGACUCAGAUGCUGGUGCUGGGGCUACACCAGGAGCCUGGGCAUGAACCAAGUACUGGAUGAAAGGGGACACUAUACCUAUUGGUCUGUUACAGCAACACUGUGUGAGCCUUGCUAAAUUACCCAGUAGAUUUCCUGGUCCUUUAUUGAAUUAUUUUGUGUUUUUUCCCCUCAAACCACCUCUCUGCACCCUUAGUCAGUGUCCUUUCUGAUGACCUCCUCAUCAUCAGAUGCUCAAAGCUGAAUUUAUCUGCAUCACCUCUUUUUCUCUUCUGGCUGCCACUAACUUUCCCUCUCUCUUACCAAAAAUGCUAUUUCUCGGCAUGCACCCCAGGACCCUUCUUUUUAUGCUUUCCCAGGAAUUACAGGUCUUCUCUUGCUAUGGGCUCAUUUUCAACCCCUAAAGCGUGCUUUAGUAUCUCCUAUCCCUAAAAGACAACAAUAAUCCCCAUUCUCCAGCUUCUCCAGCUGCUCUAUCCCAACCCAAGUUGCCUCUUGCCUGGGCCACAUUCAUGCUGGACUCACAGCAAAUUCUUUCAUAACUGGGUUACCAGCUGGACUUUUGCAAUCAUAAAUCCAGUCAUGUUUAAAACCUUCCCAUGGUUCUUCCUUGUGCUUCAGAAAAACAGUGUGAACUCCUACAAAUGACCUCCAAGGCUCAGCAUGACGUAUUCCCUGCCACCUCCACCUCUACGCUGCACCUCUUCCUUGUAUCUAUCACAUUUCAGCUCCUGGUCCUCUCGGGAUGGCUUGAAGACUCCAAACUCAUUUCUACAUUAGCGAACUUGCAUAUAUUUGCUCUGCAGAAAUGUGAUUUCUCUUGUUUCUAUAGAUAUAAUAACUAUGACAUCCUUGCAAAGGGGAAGGCCACUCCAAACUCAUUUAUAUUAUAUUCAUUUGUAUUUAUAUAUCAUUUAUAUUAAUAUAUCAUUUGUAUUAUAUAUCCAUAGUGUUUUCCCAAAACCAUGUCAAUAGAAAUUUAUUUGGUCUUUUGCCAGAGACUGAGCAGUGGUGGGAUUGAGGGUCAGAAGCACACAUCUUUCCUCUUGUGAAGAUUCAAUUGCUUCCCUUAUUAUUAACCACUAAGGCGCUUUAUAGCUCCCUUACAUCCUGGCUGCUGUUAAGAUCAUACGUAAAUAAACUUUGUCUAAGGAAA